CUCAGCUGGCUGACACUUCAAUCCUGGCAGAAGACUCAGAUGAGCCCACUGGGAUUUCCAGGCUACACAACUACAAGGUCCUGGAUUAGUCAACUGGAAAUGCCAGGAGACCAGGAAGAAGGAAGCAAGCAGUGGAAAUGACCCGGUGUUAAGCAGGCCCAGAGUCUCAUCCUUCACCCCUGCCGUCCCUUGGAGCUAUUGGAUUCGGGCGUGUCCUGCACGGUCUCCAACCUUGUCGGAAAGCCUGGGUUCCAGCCAGCGGUGUGCUGGCGCUGGUUCUCAGUCACUGGCGAGAACUGAUUGUUGUAAGUGUUGUCUGUCCAACUCCACUAUUCGGUGACCUCACUUGCUGCUUGGAAUCAGCCGUGGUGAGGAUAUACCACAGAAUCUGGCAAAGGCUACUGCUCAGGUGUUAUACCCCCAAAGAGCUGGUGGUAGACAUUUACCAGCACACUGAUGCUUCCAGCCCUGGUAGCCUGGGGAGAAGGGGAUUCCUGCCCUUCUCUGGGCCUCAAUUUCCUCCUUAGUCA